UACAUGUAGUCAUGCUAAACAUGGACUCCUACAGGUACCUACCUGCCUGUGGUGCCAUUCAAAGAGAAUAUUAUACAGUAGGCCUCUGUCAUUUUCAGCUUUGCCAAAAUUACAGUUGUCAGUAUGGUACUUUUGAGUGUAAUGACCCAGGAUUAGAACAUCAGCUCAUGACGUCUGUGGAUCACAUGAAGGAGGACAAGUGAAAAGAAAGUCCAGGAGGGCCAGAUCAAAGGAAGGAAUGGAGGAGAAGGUGACAAGUGACAGUGAAGAGGAAGGGGAAGAUUACUACAGAAUGGAGGGAGAACGGAUGAAGAAAGCAAAAGCCGCCAUUGUGGCAAGAUUAUAAGCAAGAGAGGAGAAAACAGAGAGGAGUAAGGCGGCGAUGGACAGAAAGGAACAAGAGAUGGAGAUGACGAGGAUGAAGGAAAAGUGGGAGAAGUUCCGUAAACGCGAGGAGAUGGUCUUGGAGGGAUUGGAAGUGGUUCAGAGAAGAGAGCGAGCAGUUAAAGGAAGAGAGAGAGCGGAUUCAGAAGGAGACGGAGAACAUUCAAAAGGAGAAAAAAGGCAGAUUGCGAAAGGAAGCGAUGAUCUGAGGAGACCAAGAGUGUAGGCGGUGUCGUACAGGCAGACGUUGGAGAAAGAGGGGCUCAGGGAGGAGAGGUCGAUGAAGGAGCUAAUGGAGAUGCUACUUGAAAAGGAGUAGAUGCUCAAGGAGCGAGAGAAGUUUAAAGAAAAUAGGAAGAUAGAGGAUAAAAAUGUGAAGAGGGAAAGGAAGGUCAUUGACUUGGCACGUAUGUUUAUGAGUGAAGCGUUAAAGGACAUCGAAAAACAGUGGAAGAAGAGAGAAAAUGAAAGGGGGCCAUUGAGGAGGGAGAUAGAAAGGAUGCUUAAAGAGAAGGAGACAAUAAAGGAGAGGAGCAAGGAGGAAGGAGGAAGAGGGGCAAGAGGAGGAGAGCGAUACGAGUUAGUCAUCACUCAUUCUACUGAACCGCAACAUAAAAAAUAUGAUUUACAGCAUUAAACAAACGCAGCAUGA